rnacentral:rRNA from 1 species
GCGCGAUAGAUAAUGUGAAUNGCAGACGUGAAUCAUUGAGUUUUUGAACGCACAUUGCACCUCUUNGGAGGUAUACUUGUGUGAGCGUCAUUUUUUCUCCACAUAUAUAUUAGUGGGUAAUGGUUCACUAUAUGGACUGAAAAAGAUUAUACACAGUUGUUAGACACAAGCUGUGGAAAAUUAUCAAAUUUUGACCUCAUAUCAAGUAAGAUCACCCGCUGAACUUAAGCAUAUCAAUAAGCGGAGGAAAAGAAACCAACAGGGAUUCCCUUAGUAACGGCGAGUGAACCGGGAAAAGCUCAAAUUUGAAAUCUGCCAACAGGCCGAGUUGUAAUUUGUAGAUGGCUACACUGCAUAAUAGUAGAUGCUCAAGUUCUUUGGAAAAAGACAUCAUGGAGGGUGACAAUCCCGUGAGGCAUGUUACUAGGAGCAUAUAGUGGGCUUUCUAAGAGUCGAGUUGUUUGGGAAUGCAGCUCAAAGUGCGUGGUGAAUACCAUGUAAAGCUAAAUAUGGACGAGAGACCGAUAGCGAACAAGUACUGUGAAGGAAAGAUGAAAAGCACUCCGAAAGGAGAGUGAAAUAGUACGUGAAAUUGUUAAAGUGGAAGGGCUUGAGAUCAGAAUUGGUAGUUUGGGUUCCACGUCCUCUUGGGGGCGUGUACUCCCUUUCCACCGGGCCAGCGGGAGUUUCGUCUCUUGGGUAAAAGCAGUGGAAUGUAGCAGCUUGUCUGUAUUAUAGCCUCUGUUCAUACAAGACGUCGAGA